rnacentral:rRNA from 1 species
AUGGGUAUGGUCGCAAGGGAUUCUUCCGUCCUAAUGGGGAAUGGGUCACAUGCUUCUGUUCGUGGCAUUGGCACGGUGGAUCUGAAGUUUACUUCGGGAAAGAUCGUGCAACUAAGGAACGUGCAGCAUGUCCCUACUAUGAACAAGAGAAAAGGCUAUGAGUGCGGAGGCUUGUUCCGCUUUUCUCUUUCAGAUUUUUGCAAUAAGUCAAUAAACCAAAUUUGUGCUAGUGUUAAUGAUGAUGCAAGUAUUUGGCACUCUCGUUUAUGUCAUAUUAAUUUUGGUUUAAUGUCUCGGCUAUCCAGCAUGAGUUUAAUUCCGAACUUCACAGUUGCCAAAGGUUCUAAGUGCCAUAGUUGUGUGCAAUCUAAGCAACCUCGAAAGCCUCAUAAGGCUGCCGAGGAGAGAAACUUGGCACCUCUAGAACUCAUACAUUCUGAUCUUUGUGAGAUGAAUGGUGUGUUGACAAAAGGUGGAAAGAGAUAUUUCAUGACUUUGAUUGAUGAUGCGACUAGAUUUUGCUAUGUUUAUUUGUUGCAAACUAAAGAUGAAGCAUUAGACUACUUUAAAAUCUAUAAAGCUGAAGUUGAAAAUCAACUAGAGAGAAAGAUCAAGCGUCUUAGGUCCGAUCGUGGUGGAGAGUAUUUUCCAAAAGUUUUUGAUGAAUUUUGUGAGGAACAUGGUAUUAUUCAUGAGAGUACGCCUCCCUAUUCACCUCAAUCAAAUGGAGUGGCCGAGAGGAAAAACCGCACAUUGACUGACUUGGUGAAUUCCAUGUUAGACACUGCUGGUUUAUCUAAGGCAUGGUGGGGGAGGCUCUAUUGA